AACGAACGCUGGCGGCAGGCCUAACACAUGCAAGUCGAACGGGAUCUUCGGAUCUAGUGGCGGACGGGUGAGUAACACGUGGGAACGUACCCUUUGGUUCGGAAUAGCCCUGGGAAACUGGGAGUAAUACCGGAUACGGUCGAGAGACGAAAGAUUUAUCGCCGAAGGAUCGGCCCGCGUUGGAUUAGGUAGUUGGUGGG
rnacentral:rRNA from 1 species